rnacentral:rRNA from 1 species
GAUGAACGCUGGCGGCGUGGUUAAGGCAUGCAAGUCGAACGGACAUUUUUAUUUAGCAAUAAGUGAAAAUGUUAGUGGCAAACGGGUUAGUAACGCGUAGGUAACCUACCUCUGAGUCUGGCAUAAUCCCGCGAAAGCGGGACUAAUUCCAGAUGGAAAUGAGGGGACGAAAGUCAUUCUCAUUUAAAGAUUUAUCGCUCGGAGAGGGGUCUGCGUCCUAUCCAGCUAGUUGGCGAGGUAACGGCUCACCAAGGCAAUGACGGGUAGGGGGACUGAGAGGUUGGCCCCCAACAUCGGAACUGAGACACUGUCCGGACUCCUACGGGAGGCUGCAAGUCAAGAACCUUUCUCAAUGGACGAAAGUCUGAAGAAGCGACGCCGCGUGCACGAAGAAGCCCUUCGGGGUGUAAAGUGCUUCUCUCAUCGAACAAUUUUUGAGCGUAGGUGAGGAAUAAGGGGCUCCUAAACUCGUGCCAGCAGGAGCGGUAAGACGAGUGCCCCGAGCGUUAUCCGGAAUUACUGGGCGUAAAGCGUUUGUAGGGGGCUGUAAUAGUCCCGUGUUAAAUUUUGGGGCUCAACCCCAGAGCUGCGCGGGAAACGUUACGGCUCGAGGAUGUGAGAGGCUGAUGGAACUCACGGUGUAGGGGUGAAAUCCGUUGAUAUCGUGGGGAACACCAAAGGCGAAGGCAUUCAGCUGGCGCAUUCCCUGACCCUGAGAAACGAAAGCGUGGGGAUCAAAAAGGAUUAGAUACCCUUGUAGUCCCACGCCCUAAACUAUGAUGACUGGCUAUGUGAAGUAUCGACCCUUCACGUGGCGAAGCUAACGCGUUAAGUACUACCGCCUGGGAAGUACGAUCGCAGAUUAAACUCAAGGAAUAGACGGGAACUCGCACAAGCGGUGGAGCAUGUGGUUCAAUUCGACGGUAAGCGAGAACCUUACCAGGGCUAGAAACUCCGACGAAGUUGUUGGGAAACCAGCAACGUCUCACAAGGACGGCGGAGUCAGGUGCUGCACGGUUGUCGUCAGCUCGUGGCGUGAGCUGUUCUCUUAAGUGAGGAAACGAGCGCAACCCCCAUUCUGCGUUACAAGUGUCGCAGAAAACUGCCUCGGACAACGGGGAGGAAGGUGGGGAUGACGUCAAAUCAGCGUGGCCCUCUGACGCCCUGGGCUACACACGUGCUACAAUGGCCGGUACAAUGGGUCGCCAACCCGCAAGGGGGAGCUAAUCCCAUCAAAGCCGGUCCCAGUUCGGAUUGAGGGCUGCAACCCGCCCUCAUGAAGCCGGAAUCGCUAGUAAUCGCGGAUCAGCCAUGCCGCGGUGAAUACGUUCUCGAGUUUUGUACUCACCGCCCGUCACUUCAAGGGAGCCGGGAAUACCGGAAGCACUAUUUAUAGUACCAAGGUAGGCUCGGUGAC